rnacentral:rRNA from 1 species
UACGUAGGGUGCAAGCGUUAAUCGGAAUUACUGGGCGUAAAGCGUGCGCAGGCGGUUUUGUAAGUCUGACGUGAAAGCCCCGGGCUCAACCUGGGAAUUGCGUUGGAGACUGCAAGGCUUGAAUCUGGCAGAGGGGGGUAGAAUUCCACGUGUAGCAGUGAAAUGCGUAGAGAUGUGGAGGAACACCGAUGGCGAAGGCAGCCCCCUGGGUAAAGAUUGACGCUCAUGCACGAAAGCGUGGGGAGCAAACAGG